CCUAAAGCUUUCCCAUGUUUCCACUUCUCAGCAGCUGGCUGAUCCGUUGACCAAAGCAUUAUUUGGGACUGCUCUUUCUCCUAUAUUGUCCAAGUUAAAGGUGGUUUCCCCCCCUUCAACUUGAGGAGGGGUGUUGAGAUAUGUAAAUAGGCAAUGAUUGUACUACUCACAUGUAGACCAUUUUGGUCAUUGAAGGAAAGAGUCAUAUCUGAGCCUAAUAGGCUACUUCUACAAUUAGGCUAUUUUUGUAAUUUGUUUGUCUAUGUCUGUAAUUAGACUAGUUGUGUAAA
rnacentral:lncRNA from 1 species